rnacentral:tRNA from 2 species
CUAAGCCUAUAAAAUAAACUUUUAUAUUUAUCAUAUCUAAAAGUUUAUUUUAUAGGCUUAGA